UAUCCUGUCUGAAUAUGGGGGGACCAUCCUCCAAGGCUAAAUACUCCUGACUGACCGAUAGUGAACCAGUACCGUGAGGGAAAGGCGAAAAGAACCCCGGCGAGGGGAGUGAAAAAGAACCUGAAACCGUGUACGUACAAGCAGUGGGAGCACCCUUUGGGGUGUGACUGCGUACCUUUUGUAUAAUGGGUCAGCGACUUAUAUUCUGUAGCAAGGUUAACCGUAUAGGGGAGCCGGAGGGAAACCGAGUCUUAACCGGGCGUUAAGUUGCAGGGUAUAGACCCGAAACCCGGUGAUCUAGCCAUGGGCAGGUUGAAGGUUGGGUAACACUAACUGGAGGACCGAACCGACUAAUGUUGAAAAAUUAGCGGAUGACCUGUGGCUGGGGGUGAAAGGCCAAUCAAACCGGGAGAUAGCUGGUUCUCCCCGAAAGCUAUUUAGGUAGCGCCUCGUGAAUUCAUCUCCGGGGGUAGAGCACUGUUUCGGCUAGGGGGCCAUCCCGGCUUACCAACCCGAUGCAAACUGCGAAUACCGGAGAAUGUUAUCACGGGAGACACACGGCGGGUGCUAACGUCCGUCGUGAAGAGGGAAACAACCCAGACCGCCAGCUAAGGUCCCAAAGUCAUGGUUAAGUGGGAAACGAUGUGGGAAGGCCCAGACAGCCAGGAUGUUGGCUUAGAAGCAGCCAUCAUUUAAAGAAAGCGUAAUAGCUCACUGGUCGAGUCGGCCUGCGCGGAAGAUGUAACGGGGCUAAACCAUGCACCGAAGCUGCGGCAGCGACGCUGAUGCGUUGUUGGGUAGGGGAGCGUUCUGUAAGCCUGCGAAGGUGGCCUGUGAGGGUUGCUGGAGGUAUCAGAAGUGCGAAUGCUGACAUAAGUAACGAUAAAGCGGGUGAAAAGCCCGCUCGCCGGAAGACCAAGGGUUCCUGUCCAACGUUAAUCGGGGCAGGGUGAGUCGACCCCUAAGGCGAGGCCGAAAGGCGUAGUCGAUGGGAAACGGGUUAAUAUUCCCGUACUUGGUGUUACUGCGAAGGGGGGACGGAGAAGGCUAUGUUGGCCGGGCGACGGUUGUCCCGGUUUAAGCGUGUAGGUGUGUGUUCCAGGUAAAUCCGGUUCACUUUAACACUGAGGCGUGAUGACGAGGCACUACGGUGCUGAAGCAACAAAUGCCCUGCUUCCAGGAAAAGCCUCUAAGCAUCAGGUAACAUCAAAUCGUACCCCAAACCGACACAGGUGGUCAGGUAGAGAAUACCAAGGCGCUUGAGAGAACUCGGGUGAAGGAACUAGGCAAAAUGGUGCCGUAACUUCGGGAGAAGGCACGCUGACACGUAGGUGAAGUGAUUUACUCAUGGAGCUGAAGUCAGUCGAAGAUACCAGCUGGCUGCAACUGUUUAUUAAAAACACAGCACUGUGCAAACACGAAAGUGGACGUAUACGGUGUGACGCCUGCCCGGUGCCGGAAGGUUAAUUGAUGGGGUCAGCGCAAGCGAAGCUCCUGAUCGAAGCCCCGGUAAACGGCGGCCGUAACUAUAACGGUCCUAAGGUAGCGAAAUUCCUUGUCGGGUAAGUUCCGACCUGCACGAAUGGCGUAAUGAUGGCCAGGCUGUCUCCACCCGAGACUCAGUGAAAUUGAACUCGCUGUGAAGAUGCAGUGUACCCGCGGCAAGACGGAAAGACCCCGUGAACCUUUACUAUAGCUUGACACUGAACAUUGAGCCUUGAUGUGUAGGAUAGGUGGGAGGCUUUGAAGUGUGGACGCCAGUCUGCAUGGAGCCGACCUUGAAAUACCACCCUUUAAUGUUUGAUGUUCUAACGUGGACCCGUGAUCCGGGUUGCGGACAGUGUCUGGUGGGUAGUUUGACUGGGGCGGUCUCCUCCUAAAGAGUAACGGAGGAGCACGAAGGUUGGCUAAUCCUGGUCGGACAUCAGGAGGUUAGUGCAAUGGCAUAAGCCAGCUUGACUGCGAGCGUGACGGCGCGAGCAGGUGCGAAAGCAGGUCAUAGUGAUCCGGUGGUUCUGAAUGGAAGGGCCAUCGCUCAACGGAUAAAAGGUACUCCGGGGAUAACAGGCUGAUACCGCCCAAGAGUUCAUAUCGACGGCGGUGUUUGGCACCUCGAUGUCGGCUCAUCACAUCCUGGGGCUGAAGUAGGUCCCAAGGGUAUGGCUGUUCGCCAUUUAAAGUGGUACGCGAGCUGGGUUUAGAACGUCGUGAGACAGUUCGGUCCCUAUCUGCCGUGGGCGCUGGAGAACUGAGGGGGGCUGCUCCUAGUACGAGAGGACCGGAGUGGACGCAUCACUGGUGUUCGGGUUGUCAUGCCAAUGGCACUGCCCGGUAGCUAAAUGCGGAAGAGAUAAGUGCUGAAAGCAUCUAAGCACGAAACUUGCCCCGAGAUGAGUUCUCCCUGAGACUUUAGGUCUCCUGAAGGAACGUUGAAGACGACGACGUUGAUAGGCCGGGUGUGUAAGCGCAGCGAUGCGUUGAGCUAACCGGUACUAAUGAACCGUGAGGCUUAACCUUACA
rnacentral:rRNA from 1 species